GACGAACGCUGGCGGCGUGCCUAAUACAUGCAAGUAGAACGCUGAAGCUUGGUGCUUGCACCGAGCGGAUGAGUUGCGAACGGGUGAGUAACGCGUAGGUAACCUGCCUGGUAGCGGGGGAUAACUAUUGGAAACGAUAGCUAAUACCGCAUAAGAGUAGAUGUUGCAUGACAUUUGCUUAAAAGGUGCAAUUGCAUCACUACCAGAUGGACCUGCGUUGCAUUAGCUAGUUGGUGAGGUAACGGCUCACCAAGGCAACGAUACAUAGCCGACCUGAGAGGGUGAUCGGCCACACUGGGACUGAGACACGGCCCAGACUCCUACGGGAGGCAGCAGUAGGGAAUCUUCGGCAAUGGACGGAAGUCUGACCGAGCAACGCCGCGUGAGUGAAGAAGGUUUUCGGAUCGUAAAGCUCUGUUGUAAGAGAAGAACGAGUGUGAGAGUGGAAAGUUCACACUGUGACGGUAGCUUACCAGAAAGGGACGGCUAACUACGUG
rnacentral:rRNA from 1 species